UACGUAGGUGGCGAGCGUUGUCCGGAUUUAUUGGGUUUAAAGGGUGCGUAGGCGGCUUUGUAAGUCAGUGGUGAAAUAUGGCAGCUCAACUGUCAAGGUGCCAUUGAUACUGCGGAGCUUGAGUACAGAUGAGGUAGGCGGAAUUGACGGUGUAGCGGUGAAAUGCUUAGAUAUCGUCAAGAACACCUAUAGCGAAGGCAGCUUACUAGGCUGUAACUGACGCUGAGGCACGAAAGUGUGGGGAUCAAACAGG
rnacentral:rRNA from 1 species